rnacentral:rRNA from 1 species
CGGUGGGGGGGCGUGCCUAUACAUGCAAGUAGAACGCUGAAGAGAGGAGCUUGCUCUUCUUGGAUGAGUUGCGAACGGGUGAGUAACGCGUAGGUAACCUGCCUUGUAGCGGGGGAUAACUAUUGGAAACGAUAGCUAAUACCGCAUAACAAUGGAUGACACAUGUCAUUUAUUUGAAAGGGGCAAUUGCUCCACUACAAGAUGGACCUGCGUUGUAUUAGCUAGUAGGUGAGGUAACGGCUCACCUAGGCGACGAUACAUAGCCGACCUGAGAGGGUGAUCGGCCACACUGGGACUGAGACACGGCCCAGACUCCUACGGGAGGCAGCAGUAGGGAAUCUUCGGCAAUGGGGGCAACCCUGACCGAGCAACGCCGCGUGAGUGAAGAAGGUUUUCGGAUCGUAAAGCUCUGUUGUAAGUCAAGAACGAGUGUGAGAGUGGAAAGUUCACACUGUGACGGUAGCUUACCAGAAAGGGACGGCUAACUACGUGCCAGCAGCCGCGGUAAUACGUAGGUCCCGAGCGUUGUCCGGAUUUAUUGGGCGUAAAGCGAGCGCAGGCGGUUUGAUAAGUCUGAAGUUAAAGGCUGUGGCUCAACCAUAGUUCGCUUUGGAAACUGUCAAACUUGAGUGCAGAAGGGGAGAGUGGAAUUCCAUGUGUAGCGGUGAAAUGCGUAGAUAUAUGGAGGAACACCGGUGGCGAAAGCGGCUCUCUGGUCUGUAACUGACGCUGAGGCUCGAAAGCGUGGGGAGCGAACAGGAUUAGAUACCCUGGUAGUCCACGCCGUAAACGAUGAGUGCUAGGUGUUGGAUCCUUUCCGGGAUUCAGUGCCGCAGCUAACGCAUUAAGCACUCCGCCUGGGGAGUACGACCGCAAGGUUGAAACUCAAAGGAAUUGACGGGGGCCCGCACAAGCGGUGGAGCAUGUGGUUUAAUUCGAAGCAACGCGAAGAACCUUACCAGGUCUUGACAUCCCGAUGCUAUUUCUAGAGAUAGAAAGUUACUUCGGUACAUCGGUGACAGGUGGUGCAUGGUUGUCGUCAGCUCGUGUCGUGAGAUGUUGGGUUAAGUCCCGCAACGAGCGCAACCCCUAUUGUUAGUUGCCAUCAUUCAGUUGGGCACUCUAGCGAGACUGCCGGUAAUAAACCGGAGGAAGGUGGGGAUGACGUCAAAUCAUCAUGCCCCUUAUGACCUGGGCUACACACGUGCUACAAUGGUUGGUACAACGAGUUGCGAGUCGGUGACGGCAAGCUAAUCUCUUAAAGCCAAUCUCAGUUCGGAUUGUAGGCUGCAACUCGCCUACAUGAAGUCGGAAUCGCUAGUAAUCGCGGAUCAGCACGCCGCGGUGAAUACGUUCCCGGGCCUUGUACACACCGCCCGUCACACCACGAGAGUUUGUAACACCCGAAGUCGGUGAGGUAACCUUUUGGAGCCAGCCGCCUAAGGUGGAAUUAGAAGGG